rnacentral:misc_RNA from 1 species
GGCAAAACCAUAUCAACUUUUCCUAGGAUCAAACUAAAUGUUUAUAAAAAAAUUAGCAGACAACAGUAUGGUUAGUAGAUACGGAAAAAACAAGUUCCAUAUCACCUUAUGCUGGCCAGUGUGAGUAAAUAAUUCAUAAAAUGCCCCACAAGUUUUAAACUACAAAAGCUGCUUUGGAUUAACUGUGCAUAAAAGGCCAAAUAUAAAUGAAUCUUUCAACUAUAUGUGUUUCUUAUUUCUUAAAUUCUUAAAAUCUAAAAACAGGGCAAAACGAAUAAUGUCUUGUAUUUU